AGAGUUUGAUCCUGGCUCAGGAUGAACGCUAGCUACAGGCUUAACACAUGCAAGUCGAGGGGAAACGAUAUUGGAAGCUUGCUUCUGAUAGGCGUCGACCGGCGUACGGGUGAGUAACGCGUAUCCAACCUGCCCACCACUUGGGGAUAACCUUGCGAAAGUAAGACUAAUACCCAAUGACGUCUCUAGAAGACAUCUGAAAGAGAUUAAAGAUUUAUCGGUGAUGGAUGGGGAUGCGUCUGAUUAGCUUGUUGGCGGAGUAACGGCCCACCAAGGCGACGAUCAGUAGGGGUUCUGAGAGGAAGGCCCCCCACAUUGGAACUGAGACACGGUCCAAACUCCUACGGGAGGCAGAA
rnacentral:rRNA from 1 species